ACAGUUUUCUCCUGAUUAAGUAUAGAAUAGAAAGCAGCAUGAAGUUCAUUUUUAAGAGCCGCUGUCUGAGGGUAUACACCCUCGAAGACAAUUGUAAUUUCUAUGGGUGGACCAGUUGUUGUAAUAAGCAGAGAUCAUUGCAGCCAUAUGCAGCUGCUUCAGAGGAGUUGCCACCACUGGGUUUGGCUGGGCAGGGGCAACUUUUACUCCCUCCUGCACAUCAUGAGACUGCAAUACUGCUGCUUGCAGGCUCAGAGAUGCGGACAUCCUUGCCCUCCACUAUGAGGCUUGCUUUGGAAACACUUGCACCAGCUACCACAGAGAACUCUCCGGCAUCAGACAUGCGAACUGUCUGGAUCAUCAAACGCUGCAGGAAUUUGUC